ensembl:lncRNA
GAGCUGUUGGCCGAGGUUGGAGUAGCCAGGAGGAAGGCAUGGCCAGUCGUUGAGAAAUGCUUGUUGAAGUUUUCGAUUAUCAUGGAUUUAUCAGUGGUGACCGUGUUACCUAGCCUUAGUGCAGUGGGCAGCUGGGAGGAGGUGCUCUUGUUCUAAAUGGACUUUACAGUGUCCCAGAACUUUUUGGAGUUAGAGCUUUCCUGACUGACUGCGUGUAUUGGUUCCUGACCUCCCUGAACAGUUGCAUAUCGCGGGGACUAUUUGAUGCUAUUGCAGUCCGCCACAGGAUAUUUUUGUGCUGGUCGAGGGCAGUCAGGUCUGGAGUGAACCAAGGGCUAUAUCUGUUCUUAGUUCUGCAUUUUUUGAACAGAGCAUGGUUAUCUAAGAUGGUGAGGAAGUUACUUUUAAAGAAUGACCAGGCAUCCUCAACUGACGGGAUGAGGUCAAUAUCCUUCCAGGAUACCCAGGCCAGGUCGAUUAGAAAGGCCUGCUCGCAGAAGUGUUUUAGGGAGCGUUUGACAGUGAUGAGGGGUGGUCGUUUGACUGCGGACAAGGACAUCAGGGUUGGCAGAGUGUGCUAAAGCAGUGAGUAAAACAAACUUAGGGAGGAGGCUUCUGAUGUUGACAUGCAUGAAACCAAGGCUUUUUCGAUCACAGAAGUCAACAAAUGAGGGUGCCUGGGGACAUGCAGGGCCUGGGUUUACCUCCACAUCACCCGAGGAACAAAGGAGGAGUAGUAUGAGGGUGCUGCUAAAGGCUAUCAAAACUGGUCGCCUAGAGUGUUGGGGACAAAGAAUAAAAGGAGUAGACUUCUGGGCAUGGUAGAAUAUAUUUAGGGCAUAAUGCGCAGACAGGUGUAUGGUGGGGUGCGGGUACAUUGGAGGUAAGCCCAGGCACUGGGUGAUGAUAAGAGAGGUUGUAUCUCUGGACAUGCUGGUUGUAAUGGGUGAGGUCACCGCAUGUGUGGGAGGUGGUACAAAGGAGGUAUCAGAGGUAUGAAGAGUGGAACUAGGGGCUCCAUUGUAAACUAAAACAAUGGACAUUAAUAUGGGGUUAGUCCCCCCUUUGCUGCUAUAACAGCCUCCAUUCUUCUGGCAAGGCUUUCCACUACAUGGUGGAAUAUUGCUGCGGGAACGCUUCCAUUCAGCCACAAGAGCCUUAGUGAUGUCGGGCGAUUAGGCCAGGCUCGCAGUCGGCGUUCCAAUUCAUCCCAAAGAUGUUCAAUGGGGUUGAGGUCAGGGCUCUGUGCAGGCCAGUCAAGUUCUUCCACAAUGAUCUCGACAAACCAUUUCUGUAUGGACCUCACUUUGUGCACACGGGCAUUGUCAUGCUGAAACUGGAAAGGGCAUUUCCUAAACUGUUGCCACAAAGUUGCAAGCACAGAAUCAUCUAGAAUGUCAUUGUAUGCUCUAGAGAUUUCCCUUCACUGGAACUAAGGGGCGCAGCCCAAACCAUGAAAAACAGCCCCAGACCAUUAUUCCUCCUCCACCAAACUUUACAGUUGGCACUAUGCAUUUGGGCAGGUGGCGUUCUCCUGGCAUCCGCCAAACCCAGAUUCGUCCUUUGGACUGCCUGAUGGUGAAGUGUGAUUCAUCACUCCAGAGAACGCGUUCCACUGGAAGUUUGGAACUUAGUAGUGAGUGUUCCAACCGAAGACAGAUGAUUUUUACACGUUAGGCGCUUCAGCACUCUGCAGUCCCAUUCUGUGAGCUUGUGUGGCCUACCACUUCGCGGCUGAACCGUUGUUGCUCCUAGACGUUUCCACUUCACAAUAACAGCACUUACAGUUGACCGGGGCAGUUCUAGCAGGGCAGAAAUUUGACAAACUGACCUGUUGGAAAGGUGGCAUCCUAUGACGGUGCCACGUUGAAAGUCACUGAGCUCUUCUGUAAGGCCAUUUUACUGCCAAUGUUUAUCGAUGGCGAUUGCACCUGUCAUCAAUGAGUAUGGCUGAAAUAGCAGAAUCCACUAAUUUUAUACUUUUGUAUAUUUAGUGUAAAUAAAAAGGAACCAUUUGAAAGUUUCAGAAAGUUCUUUGGAUAUGAGUGUUGGUAAACAUACUCUUUUUUCUUGUCGUUAGUGUUGAACUUCCCUACUCAAGAUAGGUCCAUAUAUGGUGUGGAGUGGACUCUUAAUGCUACUUUUUGGUCUACACCUUAGAUCACCUUCGAAAGCAUUAUGUGCGUCUCUGCUUGUGUGUAAGUAUGUAUAUAGUACACACCAGCACUUUCACUAAUGAAGUCAAGAUUUUAGAGCACUAUAGGGCUUGGAAAUAUCUGCUAAUCACAAAUGGUAUGCACCAUUAAAUCACAAAUACCGAGAGUGUGGACUGUAGACAAUCAAAAAUAUCAAAACAUUACAUAAAAAAUGUAAUGAAUAAAAGACCAGCUGCUUGGCCCUGGUUGAGGAUGCAGGUUGCUCUUCCUCAGGGUCUACACACUACAGCCAGUUACAAUCACUUAUGGGAACAACUCCAGACUAUUUGUUUGUCUGUCUGCUUUCCUGCCUUUCAGUCAGUCUAUUAGCACUUGUUGUCUCUGCAGGUAUUCUCUCUCCAGAGGUACUGUGUCAUCUCCAGAAGAGGGAGCUAAGUCACAGAUGGGGUUCAGCAUCACCUAACAAGCUGUAUGUUACUAACACCACUAUAUGACACAGAGUAAACCAUUUGCACAUAAUAUAUAACACAUGAUGUCUCAGGCUUGGCAGGUAAAGAUGGUGAACCAUAGUGAGGUUCAGUGUAAUUAUGAGUGGUGUAAGUACCAGAGGUCAGGGUUCAAAUGCUUUGGCAAAGACAGCUGGAUGGGUAAUUACAGACCCCCUGUGUUGUCAAGUCUCAACUCGUUUCCUAACUUAGCCUGUGAUGAGAGUCCACAUGGAUGAGUUAAAAGUAUGUUCUGUUCAGCCUGGGAAAAUCCCCUGCUCAUCAUGUUUGUUCUGUGGUGAAGAACACCAACUCCUUUUUGGUCUCUUUGAUUCAGACACGUUGUACACUUGUCAGCUCUCUGGUGGUGAUAGAACAGGUGGAAGGCUAUGUGUGUGCGUGGGUGCAUGGUGGAAAGGUGUGUGUGUGUGCGCGUGAGGAUGCGCGUGUGCGUGACAAGCCUCCAAGCCUCUCAUGUACCAGCUCCGCCCCCUGCCGUGCAGCCAUGGCUCACAGUAAAGACGUCGCUCGGCAACAAAGAUCAGGAAAAACAACAUGAAACAAUUUAAGAACUAUGUCAGAGAGAAAAGAGAAGAGGGAGUGAGAGAUUAUCUAAUUUCCUUCUGCUUGUCAUGCAAUUGUAAUGUAUUUCCCCCUUUUGUCCUGUAGAUGACAGCAGUGAGGAGUUCAACUGAGUUUAUAAUGGGUCAACAAAGUGCAUUUCAGAUGUGCAGUGCAUACCAUACUAACCCUUAUCUACCCUACCGCUGCCAUAUACAGGAGAUGUUUAAUGAACAUUAUGUCUAGGCUUUAGAAGUUCUCUCUACUGUGCACAAUGUCAUUAUACUGACGAGAAAGGAAAUAUGUACCGCAAUCUGUACUUACCUCUCUCCUUAGGUCUGCAGUAUUCUAACUAUACAAUGAUAUUUUCCUUCCUAUACAUUUCAUCUACCACUCAUAUGUCAAUGACUUUUAGAGAAAUUGUAUAUUCCAAGUAUUUAGAAUAAUAACAUUUCUAUUUAUUAUGUGUUGAAGGUUUUAUUUCAAUGCGGCACCUCCACCAUUGUUGCACUACUGGGCGAGGUUGUUGCCACCCUAACUCAGCUAUACACUGGCAGCUGCAGUUGAGCACCAAGAUGUAGCAGAUAAAGCUGUUCCAGAAAUGCUCUCCAGGUAGCCUCAGAUAGGAGAGCUAUUCUCUCCCUGACACGCCAUGCCCAUCCAGACACACGUCUUGUGUGUGUGUGUGUGUGUGUGUGUGUGUGUGUGUGCGCACGUGUGACCAAAGGCACGUAACGCAUGCCUAGGCAGAGGGCUUCUGACAUCAGGCCAGGCAGUUAGGUCACUGAUGCAGGAUUGGACAUACCCAGAUAGAUAGAGGUCUAUGAAAGUGUUAUAUUUAAUUAUAUUCCCACAGUGGCCUUGUAGUCAGGAAUAGACACGGCACCUGGCAUUCCAACAGCAUAGCUAACAUCCUCUCUGUUCAUUCCUCAAAAGAGAAACUCAAAUAUGUCGGUUAUCUUGUUGUCAUCUGUCAUUUCUGCAUUGACAUCAUCCAAGGGACUUUUAUAUCUUGGCAGGUGGGGCUGGCUACCUGAAAGGUCUGGAUUUCUGACAUUGUUUGAUGUGCUCCAUGGGUAAAGUAACUGUAUUCAGCUAGGGGGAAGGGCUAACUGAAUGCAUGCCAGCUGCUUUUAUGUCAGCAGGUUGUCAGUGGUCAUAACACUAAGCAGCCCAGUUCAACUCAACUCAGAGUCCAGAGUUUCCCUGUUCAGUUCAUGCCGCCAUAGUUAACAUAAAUCCCGAACACUCAAAUUAGUAUGAUAAGUUACAUUUUGUAUGGUUAAUGUAAAAUCGAAAGGAGGUAAAAACAAAAGGAGGGUGGUUGGUCAGGGUGGAUGGGUAGGCUUAUUACGUGAACAUCUAGGAACCCAAAGGUUGCGUCUUCGAAUCUCAUCACUGACAGUUUUAGCAUUUUUGCUAAUUAGCAACUUUAACUACUUAUUACUUUUUAGCUACUUUUCAACUACUUAACACGUUAGCUAACCCUAACCCUAACAAUUUUAGCUAACCCUUCCCCUAACCUUAACCCUAAACCUUAACCCCUAGCCUAGCUAACAUUAGCCAGCUAGCUGACAUUAAGAUUAGCCACCUAGCUAACAUUAGCCACAACAAUGUAAUUCAUAACAUAUCCUACAAAUGGAUGAUGGACAUUCACAAAUUAAUACAUACCAUGCAAAAUGUAACAUAUCAUACUAAAAUGUAGUGUCUCGGAUUUACGUACAGAAUAAUAUUAAAUGCUCCAAGACCAGAUUGGUUCAUGUGGUCAGUACAAAAACCUGGCCCUGAGUAUUGUGUUGUUGCCAAUGUGAAUGAAAGCCGUAGCGGCAGAGAGCAAAUAUAACUACCGGCCAUCUUUCAUCUGUCCACAGAUCUACCCCUUGCUAAUGAGUGGUUAGAGAUGAGGAAGAGAAAUGUCCAAAGUCAAAGGCUGUUAUAAUGAUCUUAGUCUUGGUCUGUCCGCCCUGUGUAUCAACACUUCCCCUGUGUGUCUCAGGUAGGUGAGAGAGAUGCUCUGAGAUGAUACUAAACACUAAACCUGCUCUUCCUCUCUGUGUUGUUUACAUAACCAGCCCCAACCUGUGUGUAGAGGUAUAGAGGAAGAAGAGAGCUCCUCAGCUCAGCUCAGCUCAGCCACUGAGGUGCUGCAUAACUCUGUCAAUAUUUAGGUGUUUCCAGGGCUGCACAGCCAUUGGAGGCAUUACAGAUGUUGGAUCUUAAUUUGAGCUAGUUUGCUACAGCAGGAAAUGUGAAUUAUUAUGUGGAUUAUAAUUAAUGUAAAUUUUUUUAGAGGUUGGUACAUUUUUCGUAGAAAUUACAAACUUCAGAUGCCUUUUUGAACCUCAAAUUCACUACAAGUUUUAUAUUUCCUACAUUACUUAAAAGUUCUCCUGCAACAAGGUGAUCAAAUUAAGAUCCUACAUCUGUAAGUAAAUCACAGGUGUCCAUAACUGCUUGGGUAUGCAGCUGCGUGCAGCAAAUGAGAGAAAGAGUACACACAAGCACACACAGACAGACAUGCUCUCUCUCACGCACACACAGUACACACAAGAGUUCCCGCACGAAACAUAGGCAUGCCACUGAACACCUGACAGGUGCAGGCGUGGUCUGUAGCGAGACACGCUAUCUUGACACGCUAACUCAUUCUUAAAUCUGAGAUACAUGCCUCCGGCUGAAAACAGCACAGCUCGCUCUCUGAAGCUGAAUCCCUCCUCCUCCUCCUCUUGCCACACCCCUUCCAAUAGUACUACUGUCACUCUAUUGAAGGGACUGUAAGCCUGAGACCUACCUGUACAGGUUUAGUGAAUGAGUGGGUCUGUUAUACCUGUACACACUACAUGUAAGUCUAUGUCACCUUGGUCAUCUGUCAUCAUUCGCUGUCUGUGAAUGGCUACACAACAGUUGACUUGACAAUGAUACAGGAAGUAAAAUGUAAUGUUUGAAUAAAGACAAUGUUUCAUGAUAAUUAGGUUGUGUUGGAUGGAGACAGAUGUUGAAGUUGGUUAAUGAAGCCUUUUUAUAACACAGUAGGCUACUUAUUACUUCAUUAAAUAAACUGCUGUAUGACCCC